UUAAGCGACUAAGCGUACACGGUGGAUGCCCUGGCAGUCAGAGGCGAUGAAGGACGUGCUAAUCUGCGAUAAGCGUCGGUAAGGUGAUAUGAACCGUUAUAACCGGCGAUUUCCGAAUGGGGAAACCCAGUGUGUUUCGACACACUAUCAUUAACUGAAUCCAUAGGUUAAUGAGGCGAACCGGGGGAACUGAAACAUCUAAGUACCCCGAGGAAAAGAAAUCAACCGAGAUUCCCCCAGUAGCGGCGAGCGAACGGGGAGCAGCCCAGAGCCUGAAUCAGUGUGUGUGUUAGUGGAAGCGUCUGGAAAGGCGCGCGAUACAGGGUGACAGCCCCGUACACAAAAAUGCACAUACUGUGAGCUCGAUGAGUAGGGCGGGACACGUGGUAUCCUGUCUGAAUAUGGGGGGACCAUCCUCCAAGGCUAAAUACUCCUGACUGACCGAUAGUGAACCAGUACCGUGAGGGAAAGGCGAAAAGAACCCCGGCGAGGGGAGUGAAAAAGAACCUGAAACCGUGUACGUACAAGCAGUGGGAGCACGCUUAGGCGUGUGACUGCGUACCUUUUGUAUAAUGGGUCAGCGACUUAUAUUCUGUAGCAAGGUUAACCGAAUAGGGGAGCCGAAGGGAAACCGAGUCUUAACUGGGCGUUAAGUUGCAGGGUAUAGACCCGAAACCCGGUGAUCUAGCCAUGGGCAGGUUGAAGGUUGGGUAACACUAACUGGAGGACCGAACCGACUAAUGUUGAAAAAUUAGCGGAUGACUUGUGGCUGGGGGUGAAAGGCCAAUCAAACCGGGAGAUAGCUGGUUCUCCCCGAAAGCUAUUUAGGUAGCGCCUCGUGAAUUCAUCUCCGGGGGUAGAGCACUGUUUCGGCAAGGGGGUCAUCCCGACUUACCAACCCGAUGCAAACUGCGAAUACCGGAGAAUGUUAUCACGGGAGACACACGGCGGGUGCUAACGUCCGUCGUGAAGAGGGAAACAACCCAGACCGCCAGCUAAGGUCCCAAAGUCAUGGUUAAGUGGGAAACGAUGUGGGAAGGCCCAGACAGCCAGGAUGUUGGCUUAGAAGCAGCCAUCAUUUAAAGAAAGCGUAAUAGCUCACUGGUCGAGUCGGCCUGCGCGGAAGAUGUAACGGGGCUAAACCAUGCACCGAAGCUGCGGCAGCGACGCUUAUGCGUUGUUGGGUAGGGGAGCGUUCUGUAAGCCUGUGAAGGUGUGCUGUGAGGCAUGCUGGAGGUAUCAGAAGUGCGAAUGCUGACAUAAGUAACGAUAAAGCGGGUGAAAAGCCCGCUCGCCGGAAGACCAAGGGUUCCUGUCCAACGUUAAUCGGGGCAGGGUGAGUCGACCCCUAAGGCGAGGCCGAAAGGCGUAGUCGAUGGGAAACAGGUUAAUAUUCCUGUACUUGGUGUUACUGCGAAGGGGGGACGGAGAAGGCUAUGUUGGCCGGGCGACGGUUGUCCCGGUUUAAGCGUGUAGGCUGGUUUUCCAGGCAAAUCCGGAAAAUCAAGGCUGAGGCGUGAUGACGAGGCACUACGGUGCUGAAGCAACAAAUGCCCUGCUUCCAGGAAAAGCCUCUAAGCAUCAGGUAACAUCAAAUCGUACCCCAAACCGACACAGGUGGUCAGGUAGAGAAUACCAAGGCGCUUGAGAGAACUCGGGUGAAGGAACUAGGCAAAAUGGUGCCGUAACUUCGGGAGAAGGCACGCUGAUAUGUAGGUGAAGCGACUUGCUCGUGGAGCUGAAAUCAGUCGAAGAUACCAGCUGGCUGCAACUGUUUAUUAAAAACACAGCACUGUGCAAACACGAAAGUGGACGUAUACGGUGUGACGCCUGCCCGGUGCCGGAAGGUUAAUUGAUGGGGUCAGCGCAAGCGAAGCUCUUGAUCGAAGCCCCGGUAAACGGCGGCCGUAACUAUAACGGUCCUAAGGUAGCGAAAUUCCUUGUCGGGUAAGUUCCGACCUGCACGAAUGGCGUAAUGAUGGCCAGGCUGUCUCCACCCGAGACUCAGUGAAAUUGAACUCGCUGUGAAGAUGCAGUGUACCCGCGGCAAGACGGAAAGACCCCGUGAACCUUUACUAUAGCUUGACACUGAACAUUGAGCCUUGAUGUGUAGGAUAGGUGGGAGGCUUUGAAGUGUGGACGCCAGUCUGCAUGGAGCCGACCUUGAAAUACCACCCUUUAAUGUUUGAUGUUCUAACGUUGACCCGUAAUCCGGGUUGCGGACAGUGUCUGGUGGGUAGUUUGACUGGGGCGGUCUCCUCCUAAAGAGUAACGGAGGAGCACGAAGGUUGGCUAAUCCUGGUCGGACAUCAGGAGGUUAGUGCAAUGGCAUAAGCCAGCUUGACUGCGAGCGUGACGGCGCGAGCAGGUGCGAAAGCAGGUCAUAGUGAUCCGGUGGUUCUGAAUGGAAGGGCCAUCGCUCAACGGAUAAAAGGUACUCCGGGGAUAACAGGCUGAUACCGCCCAAGAGUUCAUAUCGACGGCGGUGUUUGGCACCUCGAUGUCGGCUCAUCACAUCCUGGGGCUGAAGUAGGUCCCAAGGGUAUGGCUGUUCGCCAUUUAAAGUGGUACGCGAGCUGGGUUUAGAACGUCGUGAGACAGUUCGGUCCCUAUCUGCCGUGGGCGCUGGAGAACUGAGGGGGGCUGCUCCUAGUACGAGAGGACCGGAGUGGACGCAUCACUGGUGUUCGGGUUGUCAUGCCAAUGGCACUGCCCGGUAGCUAAAUGCGGAAGAGAUAAGUGCUGAAAGCAUCUAAGCACGAAACUUGCCCCGAGAUGAGUUCUCCCUGACCCUUUAAGGGUCCUGAAGGAACGUUGAAGACGACGACGUUGAUAGGCCGGGUGUGUAAGCGCAGCGAUGCGUUGAGCUAACCGGUACUAAUGAACCGUGAGGCUUAACCUU
rnacentral:rRNA from 2 species